rnacentral:rRNA from 1 species
GACGAACGCUGGCGGCGUGCUUAACACAUGCGAGUCGAACGGAAAGGCCCUGCUUUUGUGGGGUGCUCGAGUGGCGAACGGGUGAGUAACACGUGAGUAACCUGCCCUUGACUUUGGGAUAACUUCAGGAAACUGGGGCUAAUACCGGAUAGGAGCUCCUGCUGCAUGGUGGGGGUUGGAAAGUUUCGGCGGUUGGGGAUGGACUCGCGGCUUAUCAGCUUGUUGGUGGGGUAGUGGCUUACCAAGGCUUUGACGGGUAGCCGGCCUGGGAGGGUGACCGGCCACAUUGGGACUGGAAUACGGCCCGGCCUCCAACGGGAGGCAGCAGUGGGGAAUAUUGCACAAUGGGCGGAAGCCUGAUGCAGCAAAGCCGCGUGCGGGAUGACGGCCUUCGGGUUGUAAACCGCUUUCGCCUGUGACGAAGCGUGAGUGACGGUAAUGGGUAAAGAAGCACCGGCUAACUACGUG